GAUCUCUCAGGGGCAAGCAUGUUUCUCUUGGAUAAGAGUGGGGUGAAAGGCACUAUCGAAGUCUGAAUGCUGGUUGCAGAAGAUAAUUUGAAGAAUGGGAACAUUAAGCCAUACUCAUUCAACCUACUCUUUAAGAGUUUGACAGGAGGGCCUAUACCUGCAUAUGCUCCCACCUCCAUCCCAAGGGGAAAAAGAUGUCAAUGGAUGUUAGUAUAAGCUUCCUGAAGACCAACUCUCAAACAGACAAAUUUUGGACAAAAUAUGAAAAACACCUGCCUAAAGAUCUGGAGAGUAGUCAUCCGCAGGCACAGUGUUGAAGGGAGUCAAUGUGGAGAAGCAAAUAGCAAAGGGAUGCUCUUUGGGGUUGAAAGGAACAAAGGGGUAUACUUAGGAAGCGGAAGACACUUGUUAUGCUUGCUAUUGCUUUGAGAACAUGCCUCUACUUGAUUUUCAAAAGACUUUCUGAACAUAAAGGCUAGGUGGUUGCCAGUCUGCCUCAAAAUGACAGGAGGAUUUGCUCAAAAGAGAGAGUCUGCACUUUAAUUUUAAAUCAGGCUUUGUUCCUGCCCACAGAGCAACCAAGAA
rnacentral:lncRNA from 1 species